CACGUAGGGUGCGAGCGUUGUCCGGAAUUAUUGGGCGUAAAGAGCUCGUAGGCGGUGUGUCGCGUCGGCCGUGAAAACCUGCAGCUUAACUGUGGGCUUGCGGUCGAUACGGGCAUCACUGGAGUUCGGCAGGGGAGACUGGAAUUCCUGGUGUAGCGGUGAAAUGCGCAGAUAUCAGGAGGAACACCGGUGGCGAAGGCGGGUCUCUGGGCCGAUACUGACGCUGAGGAGCGAAAGCGUGGGGAGCGAACGG
rnacentral:rRNA from 1 species